rnacentral:misc_RNA from 1 species
AUAAAACAGGGCUAAAGCGGAGACUGAUAUUACCUACUUCCCUUCAAGAUUCCAAAGGUUAACCAUAACGGAAGUAAUUGAAUCAUUAGUUUGAGCAACAAAGUAGCUUAAAUGGAUUAUUAGAGAUUGUAUUACAUUGAAGUAAGUGCUAACAAUGUUAAAGGAUUUCAAAUCAUCAUCUUAACAAGUCUUUAACUAUCAUAGACACAAGAGAUAUCAA